rnacentral:rRNA from 1 species
GACGAACGCUGGCGGCGUGCUUAACACAUGCAAGUCGAACGGAAAGGCCCUGCUUUUGUGGGGUGCUCGAGUGGCGAACGGGUGAGUAACACGUGAGUAACCUGCCCUUGACUUUGGGAUAACUUCAGGAAACUGGGGCUAAUACCGGAUAGGAGCUCCUGCUGCAUGGUGGGGGUUGGAUAGUUUCGGCGGUUGGGGAUGGACUCGCGGCUUAUCAGCUUGUUGGUGGGGUAGUGGCUUACCAAGGCUUUGACGGGUAGCCGGCCUGAGAGGGUGACCGGCCACAUUGGGACUGAGAUACGGCCCAGACUCCUACGGGAGGCAGAAGUGGGGAAUAUUGAAAAAUGGGCGGAAGCCUGAUGCAGCAACGCCGCGUGCGGGAUGACGGCCUUCGGGUUGUAAACCGCUUUCGCCUGUGACGAAGCGUGAGUGACGGUAAUGGGUAAAGAAGCACCGGCUAACUACGUG